rnacentral:lncRNA from 1 species
AUGGCUGAAUUUAAGGGUGUUGGGGUUUUUUUGUUUGUUUCAGGCUUGUUUUGGUUUGUUUUUUUGUUGUUGUUAUUUUCUUGCUUUCUUUAGAGAGUUGUUGACUGCUGCUGUCUGACCUUCCUGUGGGAAGUUAAUUAAAUUGUAUUCCGGGCAAGAUGGUCAAUUCUUUCUUCUUAAUCCCUUCUGGCCUGAUUCUAAAGUAUAGCUCCCUGAGGGGAUGCCUGCUGUUGGAAAUUUUAGAAGGGAUUUUGUUGCUGCUGAAUGGGAACUACUUCUGGGUCUUUCUUUAACAUUCCAUGAGCGUAUGAAGGGCAGUCUAAUGCAUGCAGUACAUAGAAAAACUCUGGAGAGAGAAAAAUCUUUAAAAAAAAAAAAAAGGCAUGCAUUAGGUUCUUGUAGAACUGCCUGCUUGUUCUUUGACAGAGUGGAAGAAAAUCAUCUUUUGACACCAGAUGUGUUUUUUGUCUCGGGCACAAACCACCUAUUUUGAGGAGGAGGAGAGUCGGAAUCAGCAGUUAACUCCCACCAUGAAGGAUGGUGGGCGGGGGGGAGAGGAAGAGGAAGUCGGGACAUUGGGGAGCGGGAUAGGGCCAGGAGAAGCAGAAGACCCUACUAGAAGUCAGACUGCAGACUGAUGAGGUGGGGGGCAGGGGGUCCCCCACUACCGAGAGACAAAAUGGCUGGUGGGGAAAGGUGAGCUCCAGGAGAGUUAGGUCCUCACCUGCAACAGUCACCCUAGAAGAGGGGGUAUCUGCCCCGUAGGGUCGGGAAUCACCACAUCCCAGCCACCCUUCCUUUUCACCGCUCGGCAGUGCAGAAGGAGGAGUGGAGAGUUUCCGUGCCCGACUUAGCGAAGAUAAUCUGAGAAGCAGCGUGGCGCAGUGGAAAGAGCACGGGCUUUGGAGUCAGGGCUCAUGAGUUCGAAUCCCAGCUCUGCCACUUGUCAGCUGUGUGACUGUGGGCAAGUCACUUCACUUCUCUGGGCCUCAGUUCCCUCAUCUGUAAAAUGGGGAUUAAGACUGUGAGCCCCACGUGGGACAACCUGAUUCCCCUGUGUUUACCCCAGCGCUUGGAACAGUGCUCGGCACAUAGUAAGCGCUUAACAAAUACCAACAUUAUUAUUAUUAUUAAUCGGGUUGCUACCUUAGAUCUUUAGCAAAAAAGAAAAGAGAAAUCAGUUUUUGCCCGGAAAGCCUUCUGUGUUUGAGGUGAGAGAUGCUACCUUUCCGUCUAGUUUGGACCCAGCCUCCCUCGGGCAGGUGACACAACAGUGAGGGAGGGAGUAAUAAGCAAAGCAGAGACAGGGGUCCAGUGAGCAAGAGUCUCCCCCAAUUCAGAUUCACAGAGGGCCCUCCUCUCCGAUUCCCCAACUCCCGGCUUCUAACUGUUGGGAAGGCUUGGAGGGUUAACGGCUUAAUUAUUGGAUUGCCCCCCUACCAAUGACCUGUUACUUUCCCAACUACUUAGCCGCAUAUAUUUUAAGUCCAGUGAUAGUGUAGCCAAAUGCACAAAACCAAACAAUUUCACACUCAGAAAAAAGGCUACUCCACAAAUCCCAAGAUCAUCUCCACAAGGGAGCUGAGCCAAAGCCUCCCUGCAAAGAUCCUGUGAAAUCCGAGAAGUGAGAAUGACUCCUUUUUCCGUUCUCACCUGCCAGAAAGGAUCGGGAGCUCAGUCGGGAGGCGGGAACGCUUGGAGCGGGAAAAGGGAGAUGUUUGUCUUGUUGUCAUCGCUUUAUCUUCCUUGACAUAUUAUUGAAUAUUUCAGGUCCUUUCCUCCUUUAAGGACCCACCAGUUCCACCAGUGUGCUGCUAUCAUUCCACCAGUCAUCCUGGCUGUGCUAGCUGGCUGAGGCAACAAAUUAUUAUAGGCGAAACUCCUUAAAUUUUCCCUUUUAGAAAGCAUUAUACAUACGUUUUCUCUCUUCGUAAAGGGGUGUUCUUCUAUCCUAGUAACUGCAAUAACAUUCCACUAGCAAUGCUUGUUGCGGGAGUAGACGGGGAGCAGUUAGAGAAGUUUUACACUGACUGACCCAUUUACAUCAUUGUGGGAGAGGGGGCAGAGUUGUUUAGGAUUAUUACAAAGUCAGUGUUUGCCCACCAGAAAUCCACCGAGACUCUGCUUUUGUAAAAGCUUAGCUUCUUGACCUUCUUGAGAAGCAGCAUGGCGUGGUGGAUAGAGCACGGGACUGGAAGUCAGAAAGUCACGGGUUCUAAUCUAAGCUCCGCCACUUCGCUGCUGUGUGACCUUAGGCAAGUCCCUUCACUUCUCUGUGCCCGUUACCUCAUCUGUAAAAUGAUAUUAAGUCGGUGAGCCCCAUGUGGGCCAAGGACUGUGUCCAACCCGAUUUGCCAGUAUCCACUCCGGCGCUUAGUACAGUGCCUGGCACCUAGUAAGUGCUUAACAGAUACCAUAAUUAUUAUUACUGUGUGCUUUUUCAACUUUCUCUACCUUGCAAAGAAUCCUGGAAAUUUCACACAUCACUUGCAGAUCCAUUCUCCUCAAGGUAUGAACACCCCCUCUACUUCUUCUAAGAGAAGCAGCGUGGCUCAGUGGAAAGAGCACGGGCUUUGGAGUCAGAGGUCAUGGGUUCGAAUCCUGGCUCUGCCACUUGUCAGCUGUGUGCCUGUGGGCAAGUCACUUAACUUCUCUGUGCCUCAGUUCCCUCAUCUGUAAAAUGGGGAUUAAGACUGGGAGCCCCACGUGGGACAACCUGAUUCCCCUGUGUCUCCCCCAGCGCUUAGAACAGUGCUCGGCACAAAGUAAGCGCUUAACAAAUACCAACAUUGUUAUUAUUAUUAUUAGAACAGUGCUCGGCACAUAGUAAGCGCUUAACAAAUACCAACAUUAUUAUUAUUACCCAACCUCCAAACUCCUCACUGAAUUCUCUUAGUCCAGAGUCUCCUUUUGCGGACUCUACCGACCUGGGAAGUCUCGGAUGGAACGACUCGGUGACUUAGAUUUCCUCUCACCCGCCAAAGAAAGGGUGAUGAGGAUCGAUAAAAGCUUCCUCUCCGUUCCCCGAAGCCAGCUCGCCCACUCUCCUUCCCCACUGAGUAUUCCCGAUUCCGGUUGGUGGCAGAGCACGGCCGUCUCUGGGAGGCAUAAGGCCAGGCUACCCGGAGCUCAAAGCAGCUUUCGUUCUCACUGAGAAAAGAGUUUCACCUUCGCAGAAGCCACCCACUUGGCACUGCGCUCUCUAAACCUCCACUUAGCCAGCCUACAAAUAGCCAAUCCACUGGACUGACUUCCCGCUGGGCCCAAGACACGACACGCUGAAGCCGCUUACGGGUUGCAGGUAAAAAACUGGAUCCCUGUCCUUGAGCCACUUCAGAUCCCAAAGGGGAUUUAAGAAAUGAAGUAGAAAUGAAGAAAUGAAUGUAAUUUUCAUUCAUUCAAUAGGAUUUAUUGAGCGCUUACUAUGUGCCGAGCAAUUUUCCACUGGUGUGAUUGGGAUCUGUGGUAUAGCUGGGAUUAUGGAAUAUAGAGAGAAGGCAGAGACUCAAAAAAUUCAUUGGUAUCAGAUGUACACGGUCGUUUGUCCGAGUGAGUUGAAUAUAAUUUAUAUUAAGUUCAGUUAAUACUCUUCUAUUAGCUGAGCAAGUCCUAUUCAAAAAAAAACACCCCCAAAUCCCUGCCUUCCCGAUAUUCCUUCAUUACACAAAAUAAGAGCUCAGAUGGAGAAGCAGCGUGGCUCAGUGGAAAGAGCCCGGGCUUGGGAGUCAGAGGUCAUGGGUUCGAAUCCCGGCUCCGCCACUUGUCAGCUGUUUGACCUCGGGCAAGUCAUUUAACUUCUCCCUGCCUCAGUUACCGCAUCUGUAAAAUGGGAAUGAAGACCGUGAGCCCUACGUGGGACAACCUGAUUACCUUGUAUCUAUCCCAGCGCUUAGAACAGUGCUUGGCACAUAGUAAGCGCUUAACAAAUACCGACAUUAUUUAUUAUUAUAAGACAUACUUGUCAUCUCUCACCUGAUUUCCAGAAACCCUCAGGGCUGGUGGGGGUAAAGAUGCCAAACUUGCAGGUCAUCUCCCAGUUCCCGAUCCUCUCAACUUGCAUGAAAACUUGCUGUGGAGACCGCUACCAAGUGAUGAGUCAGUGGCUUCAAACUGCACCGGAGGGGAAAACUAAUUAAUGAGAGAUUACUGUGAAAUUGCUACGGGAUUCUGGUUUCUUUUUAUUACCUCCGGGGCUAAUUCAAAUGCUCACCGGACAUUUCUCCUGGAGUGAAUCGGAAUCCCGAAGAGCGGAAGGGUGAUCGGGGCUUCUUUUUAUCUGGGCAGAGAUCACUUCCAAGGGAAAGGGAACCAUUUUCCUUUAGAAUAAAAUCCAAGUUAUCAAUGGGCAUGUGAACUGCAUGUUGCCAAGUGAGGCAGAGGGCUCAAGAUGACAAUGAUAACGGUGAGAAGAUAAUAAUAAUGACUUGACAGGCAUGGCAUGGUUCCCUACAUUCAUCUCAUAUUAUCUUCACGACAUCCCCGUGAGGUAGGGAGAGGCA